rnacentral:rRNA from 1 species
GACGAACGCUGGCGGCGUGCUUAACACAUGCAAGUCGAACGGUGAAGCGCCUUCCUUUUUGGUGGGUGUGGAUGAGUGGCGAACGGGUGAGUAACACGUGAGUAACCUGCCCCCUUCUUCUGGAUAACCGCAUGAAAGUGUGGCUAAUACGGGAUAUUCUGGGUCUGUCGCAUGAUGGGUCUGGGAAAGAUAUUGUUUCGGUGGGGGAUGGGCUCGCGGCCUAUCAGCUUGUUGGUGGGGUGAUGGCCUACCAAGGCGGUGACGGGUAGCCGGCCUGAGAGGGUGGGCGGCACAAUGGGGAAUGAGACCGGGCCAGGACUCCGGGGGGGGGCGGCGGGGGGAAUUAUGGAACAGGGGGCGCGGCCUUGAGGCGGCGCGGCCGGGGGGGGGAUGGGGCCCUGGGGGUGGUGACCCUCUUUCGCGAGUGAAGCGGGCCUGCCUGGUGUGGGGUUGGUUUGACGUUGGCUGAAUGAGAGGCGCCGGCUAGCUCGGUG